GGUGUCAUGUAUGGGUCCCCCCAUGUGGUGUCUGUCCCCCAUCACCCCAGUUCUCUGUGGCUCUACCUGUUUCCAUUUAUACCAGACUGAACUUCUUUGCUUUGCCAUGAAUUCUUAGCACUGGGGACAGACACACGUGAUGGUGAAUGGCACAUACCUUAGGUUAUAUGCAGAAAUUUGAACUCCUGCUGCUGUCACAAUUCCUCAGAUUAAAUGUUUGGCAAUCCAAUUAAAGCAUAUGUCCACAGAGCUUGCAAUUUCAAGAUUACAAACCCUGUUCACAGAUAGAGAAACCUAAUGCACAAUACCAUCCACUCCUGUAAAUGUUAAACAUCUGAAAAUGUUUGUGUAGCUGUCUAAGAGAACUGUAAAUCUGCUGAACUUCCCAGAUUUCACUCUAGAUGCCAGAGACCAGGAGUGUGCUGGCUGGAGGGAAGGCAUAUUCAUACUUCCAGGAGUUGAUUGAUCUAAGUACAUGAGUUAAAAGGCUAUGCAACCUCUUUAAUAUUGUGUUCUGGUGAUACCCAAGGAACUCUCGGCAGUUUGACAAACUUGUGUAAAAUUGUCAGUGAGAUCCAGAUUUGCACAAAUGGAAGCAGAUGGUAAACCAACUAGCAGUUCUGGGAGACAGGCAUCAGGA